ACUUAAGAUUUGUACCUGCUGUAAAUAUGGACAAACAGUGAUCGGUAGGCUUUUAGGUGAGCAUGGCAUUGAGUAUUUAGAUACUCAUAAAGGACCUACGCACAUGA